rnacentral:rRNA from 1 species
CUUGUUGGGUGACUGCGUACCUUUUGUAUAAUGGGUCAGCGACUUAUAUUUUGUAGCGAGGUUAACCGAAUAGGGUAGCCGUAGGGAAACCGAGUCUUAACUGGGCGAAUAGUUGCAAGGUAUAGACCCGAAACCCGGUGAUCUAGCCAUGGGCAGGUUGAAGGUUGAGUAACAUCAACUGGAGGACCGAACCCACUAACGUUGAAAAGUUAGGGGAUGACCUGUGGCUAGGAGUGAAAGGCUAAUCAAACCGGGAGAUAGCUGGUUCUCCCCGAAAUCUAUUUAGGUAGAGCCUCGGACGAAUACUUACGGGGGUAGAGCACUGUUAAGGCUAGGGGGUCAUCCCGACUUACCAACCCUUUGCAAACUCCGAAUACCGUAAAGUAAUAUCCGGGAGACACACGGCGGGUGCUAACGUCCGUCGUGAAGAGGGAAACAACCCAGACCGCCAGCUAAGGUCCCAAAGUCAUAGUUAAGUGGGAAACGAUGUGGAAAGGCCCAGACAGCCAGGAGGUUGGCUUAGAAGCAGCCAUCCUUUAAAGAAAGCGUAAUAGCUCACUGGUCGAGUCGGUCUGCGCGGAAGAUGUAACGGGGCUAAACUAUGCACCGAAGCUGCGGAUUCAGAAUUUAUUCUGAGUGGUAGGGGAGCGUUCUGUAAGCCGUUGAAGGUGUACCGGGAGGUAUGCUGGAGGUAUCAGAAGUGCGAAUGCUGACAUGAGUAACGAUAAUGGGAGUGAAAAACUCCCACGCCGGAAGACCAAGGGUUCCUAUCCCAUGUUAAUCAGGGUAGGGUAAGUCGACCCCUAAGGCGAGGCCGAAAGGCGUAGUCGAUGGGAAACAGNUUGUUUAGGUAAAUCCGGACAAACAUUAAACCUGAGACACGAGACGAGUCACUACGGUGAUGAAGUUGCUGAUGCCAUACUUCCAGGAAAAGCCUCUAAGCUUCAGAUUAUAUGGAAUCGUACCCCAAACCGACACAGGUGGUCAGGUAGAGAAUACUAAGGCGCUUGAGAGAACUCGGGUGAAGGAACUAGGCAAAAUCGUACCGUAACUUCGGGAGAAGGUACGCUCCUAUCUGUGAUGAGACUUGCUCUCUAAGCGGACGGGAGCCGCAGUGACCAGGUGGCUGGGACUGUUUAUUAAAAACACAGCACUGUGCAAAAUCGCAAGAUGACGUAUACGGUGUGACACCUGCCCGGUGCCGGAAGGUUAAUUGAUGGGGUUAUCCUUAGGGAGAAGCUCUUGAUCGAAGCCCCGGUAAACGGCGGCCGUAACUAUAACGGUCCUAAGGUAGCGAAAUUCCUUGUCGGGUAAGUUCCGACCUGCACGAAUGGUGUAACCAUGGCCACGCUGUCUCCACCCGAGACUCAGUGAAAUUGAAAUCGCAGUGAAGAUGCUGUGUACCCGCGGCUAGACGGAAAGACCCCGUGAACCUUUACUACAGCUUGGCACUGAACAUUGAACCUACAUGUGUAGGAUAGG